rnacentral:rRNA from 1 species
CCUACGGGAGGCAGCAGUGAGGAAUAUUGGUCAAUGGACGCAAGUCUGAACCAGCCAUGCCGCGUGCAGGAAGACGGCUCUAUGAGUUGUAAACUGCUUUUGUACGAGGGUAAACGCAGAUACGCGUAUCUGUCUGAAAGUAUCGUACGAAUAAGGAUCGGCUAACUCCGUGCCAGCAGCCGCGGUAAUACGGAGGAUUCAAGCGUUACCCGGAUUUAUUGGGUUUAAAGGGUGCGUAGGCGGUCGGAUAAGUUAGGGGUGAAAUCCCGAGGCUCAACUUCGGAAUUGCCUCUGAUACUGUUCGGCUGGAGAGUAGUUGCGGUAGGCGGAAUGUAUGGUGUAGCGGUGAAAUGCUUAGAGAUCAUACAGAACACCGAUUGCGAAGGCAGCUUACCAAGCUACUUCUGACGUUGAGGCACGAAAGCGUGGGGAGCAAACAGGAUUAGAUACCCCGGUAGUC